rnacentral:rRNA from 1 species
UAAUACGGAGGGUGCAAGCGUUAAUCGGAAUUACUGGGCGUAAAGCGUGCGUAGGCGGUUAAUUAAGUCAGAUGUGAAAGCCCCGGGCUUAACCUGGGAACUGCAUUUGAAACUGGUUAGCUAGAGUAUGGUAGAGGAAAGUAGAAUUUCUGGUGUAGCGGUGAAAUGCGUAGAUAUCAGAAAGAAUACCAAUGGCGAAGGCAGCUUUCUGGACCAAUACUGACGCUGAGGUACGAAAGCGUGGGGAGCAAACAGGAUUAGAUACCCUGGUAGUCCACGCCGUAAACGAUGAUAACUAGCUGUUGGGAGGGUUACCUCUUAGUGGCGAAGCUAACGCGUUAAGUUAUCCGCCUGGGGAGUACGGCCGCAAGGCUA